CACUUGAAAAGCAGAAAGAGGAAACAAGAAGUGCAAAACGGUCUUCAUACUAGCAGUAACAUAACACAUGUCAUAAGCGUUUUUCCAAUAAACGAUUUUAAACGCGACUCAAAAGGUUUUCAGAUUUUCGUUUGUCUCUCUCACAUCGAUUCAUGCGUUAACAAUAAUAUACCUGCUCGAUUCACAGUUACGGUACAUAAUUCAUUUCAGUUCAAAAUCACUUUUUUGUUCAGCUUGUGCGUCACGUUUUGACUCGAUUUAGAAUUUGAUUUCGAUUCAAUUUUAUGAUAAAAGAGAAUUGACAUAACAUAGAGCAAAACUCGAGGUUUGGAGUGUUUACCAACGGAGGGGAGAUUUCCUAUUGUAGUGUUGUAUUUCUGGCGUCGAUGAGUAGAAGAGAAACUCAUAUAUUCAAAUAGCUACAGAGUUUCUUGCACUGAGCUAGCACACAACUCAACAGGAAAUUCAACAUUUUUCUCUGCCAUCACACAUCAACUCUUCCUGGCUGUGCUGGUAGGUUUGUUUCCUCGAAGUGGUGGCGUGGCACAUAGUGCUCGUGCCAUACCGUCUUUGCUGAUGGGAGCAGGUUCGUUUUUUCAAACUUGUGGAGUGUCAUAUGCUGGAACUGCUUGUCGAAUAUUGAUUGGAGGAGCAACUUGUACAAGAGGAGGCUGCAUUACUUGAGGAGAUAUUGCGUCUGGUGGCGGGGAGAAUACAGGUAUUGCAGUCCUUAUGGUAACUGGUGGUGCAAUUCUAGAAGCAGUCGAAACCUUUCUGAAAACACUGGCCACAUCCUGAUGAUUCAAUGAAUGUAUGAUUUGGAAAACCUGCCACUGCACCAGCAAUGCAAUUAUUGUUGUAUGAGCUAUUGUUGUAUGAGCUAUUGAUGUAAGCGUGCCAUUCUCUCAGGGGAUGACAUCUAUCUUCUUUGGCUAAUAUUGCAUCGGAAGUAUUUCUCACAUAGUAUUUAUGCAGCCAUUUACCUGUUUCCCAAAGUACAUGCAUGAUACUUUCUCUGGAAGAAUAGACAUGGCUUUCAUAAGGUAGAAUCGCCAGCCGAUAAAGAGCACUGUGGCCCUUCAGAGCGCUAAAACCUGUCUGACUGCAUGGUUAAUUUAUCUUGGCAAUAAUAUAUGUCCCAGCUUGGGUUUUCCGCAUCAUGGGAGAGCCAGGAUCGGAGUACACAUUUUCUGAAGAUUGAUUGAAUAGGAUGCAUGGAUCUGAGAGAAAAGUUCAAAUGCCGUUUUUGCAAGAAUGAGGACAACUUCAGAGUCAAGUUUGGGGUUUUGAUUGUUCUGUCUUUGACACUUGCAGUUUUGCAGUUGCAGCUGAGCUUGCACGAUAUCUUGUUUUCUAUAAGAUCUUUAGGAUCAAGAAUAUUGAUUCUGGAUUGAUCAGAAGGUGCAAACUUUGAUAUCUUUGACAGGAGUCUUGAUAUGUGUAAAGCUGAGAUCAUGCAGUUCCAUGUGCAUAGAUUGGAACUAGAAUGUAAUUUGAACAUUUUUCUAGCACCGUUGAUGUCUUCUACACAUAGAAGAAAACUGUCUCAAAUGUUGUGUGCGCACUGUCGAUCUGCAGUAGAAUAGGAUCAUUCCAAAAAUGUGAUCCUGCAUACAGGAUUUUUAGCUUCAUGAGCCGCAAGUUGGAACAAAGUGGUAAGUUGGAACAAAGUGGUAAGGUCUGGCUUACUGCUAGAUGUAGUAGCCGAAAGUCGUCGUAUUGCGGCGAUUGUCGGAUCAACUUUGCUGCUAGACUCUUUCCUCAGCCAUUAAACGGAAUUGGAGAGAGUAGCGCAAGCGAAACGGUGUUGAGGAUUGACGGUGAGUUUGGAAUUGUUCUUGAGACGGAAACAUUGCAUAUAACUGUUGAUCUUUAUGUCUGCCUGAAUUUCAUUCUAAAUUUCAAGCUUGAGAUGUCGACAAGAUAUUGAUUUUCUUCGAUGCAAGAACCCUAUGAGUUGGUAUAUGCAUAGCUCUUUGAACAACACUACUAGCACCACUACCAAUUGCUCUAAAAACCCUCAUCUCAUGAGAGCCAUAUGAAGCAAAGGUUUGUAAUAGAAAUUCACUGGAUGAUGAUGGAGCUUCAUCUUCAUGUGUUAGAACAAGAAAUGGUGAGAAAUAGGGAGAAUUAGUCUAACAAGAAACAAGAAGUAGCGCAGUUAAUGCUAGAAGAGAGCCAAAAAUUGAGAAGAGAAACCCUCAUCUUGUAUCUUGAUUGAUCACACUAUGUUCAAUUCACUGUGAUGAAGUGAAUUUGGAUGUAACUUA